rnacentral:lncRNA from 1 species
AGGUACCUUAUCUUUUUUACAGUUGUUUCUCUAUAUUUAACAUCUGCAUGUUUGAUCUAUUACAUGCUGUUCCUUUUUCUAGCAGAUUCGGUGUUAUUUUGUUCCGAUUUUUAUGGAUUCAACAAAAGUUCAUUUCCAUUCCGUUUGUUGAUAUUUAUGCUCGAUCUGAUGCUAUCCAUAUCAAAUGAUCAUAUAUUCAACUCCGAUUCAACCGAUUCAUAGUUUAAUUUGAAGCAAUUUUUUUUUUGUUUUCUUCUGGAUGAUUUUUUUGUUGUUUAUUGCUUCGAGGUAUAUAUACCUGAUGCUCUGAUUUUCGAAGGUUACAUGGAUGUCUUUAUCAUCAUGUCAUUAUUUCUUCCUAAAAUAAGAUCUGCGUAUCAAAGUUAUUUAAUUUGUUAAUUACGAUACGAUCGUAUAUAAAAUUAUACUACAACUCUGAAUAAUUACAGGUCGCCAUCAUCGAGCAAUCUGUGAGCCCAGGAGGUGGAGCAUGGCUCGGAGGUCAACUCUUCUCCGCCAUGGUCGUCCGCAAGCCCGCACACCUCUUCCUCGACGAGCUUGAAAUCGAGUACGACGAGCAAGAAGACUACGUAGUCAUCAAACACGCGGCUCUCUUCACCUCCACCAUCAUGAGCAAGCUCUUAGCCAGGCCAAACGUGAAGCUCUUCAACGCAGUAGCAGCCGAGGACUUAAUCAUCAAGGGAGGUAGAGUCAGUGGCGUUGUAACUAACUGGGCUUUAGUCGCAAUGAACCACGACACACAAUCCUGCAUGGACCCGAAUGUAAUGGAGGCUAAAGUGGUUGUGAGUUCAUGUGGACACGAUGGACCCAUGGGUGCUACAGGAGUGAAAAGGCUCAGAAGCGUUGGAUUGAUUGAGAGUGUUCCUGGGAUGAAGGCUCUUGACAUGAACGCUGCUGAAGAUGCGAUUGUGAAGUUGACUAGAGAGAUUGUUCCUGGUAUGAUUGUUACAGGAAUGGAAGUUGCAGAGAUCGAUGGAUCUCCAAGAAUGGUAAUUAAUUAAAAUCGAUUACUUAUAAUUUAUAAAAUAUAAUCCAUCUUUUUUUUUUUUUCUUGAAAAUGAUUGUGGAAAUGGUGUAUGUGAACAGGGGCCGACGUUUGGGGCUAUGAUGAUAUCUGGACAGAAGGCUGCUCAUCUGGCUUUGAGGGCUUUAGGGCUUCCGAAUGCUUUGGAUGGGACAAGUGUGGGAAGUGUUCAUCCAGAGAUGAUUCUUGCUGCUGUUGAUUCUGGUGAGACUGUGGAUGCCUAAG